CCUACGGGGGGCUGUAGUCGAGGAUCUUGGACAAUGCGCGAAAGCGUGAUCCAGCGACGUCGCGUGCAGGAUGAAGGCCUUCGGGUUGUAAACUGCUGUCGUGAGGGAACAAUUGGCGGGAGGCUAACACCGUCUCGUCUUGAUAGUACCUCAGGAGGAAGACACGGCUAACUCAGUGCCAGCAGCCGCGGUAAUACAGAGGUGUCGAGCGUUGUUCGGAUUUACUGGGCGUAAAGGGUGCGUAGGCGGCUUUGUGUGUCGGACGUGAAAUCCCACUGCGUAACGGUGGAGCUGCAUCCGAAAC
rnacentral:rRNA from 1 species